rnacentral:rRNA from 1 species
UUGCCUACGGGGGUCUGCAGUAGGGGAUAUUGGUGAAUGCGGGCAACCGCGAACCAGCAACGCCGCGUGUGCGAUGAAGGCCUUCGGGUUGUAAAGCACUUUUGUGUGGGACGAGGAAGGACGGUACCACACGAAUAAGCCUCGGCUAACUACGUGCCAGCAGCCGCGGUAACACGUAGGAGGCGAGCGUUAUCCGGAUUUACUGGGUGUAAAGCGCGAGCAGGCGGUUUUGUAAGUUGGGUGUGAAAGCUCCUGGCGUAACUGGGAGAGGUCGCUCAAGACUGCAAGACUAGAGCAUGGUAGAGGAAGGUGGAAUUCCGGGUGUAGUGGUGAAAUGCGUAGAGAUCCGGAGGAACACCAGUGGCGAAAGCGGCCUUCUGGGCCAUGACUGACGCUCAGACGCGAAAGCCAGGGGAGCAAACGGGAUUAGAUACCCGAGUAGUCU